CACACUCUCUCUCUCUCUAGGGUUUUCUCUCUCUACAAAGGAAUCGCCGAUUUCGCUCGUGUUCGUCGCAACGUUGGUUUUCGGCGCGUUGCGAGCGUUGCUGAACCUACGAGGACAUGUGAGGGAGUACUUUGGAAGGAUUUUCGCAGCCCUAGACCCUCAAAGUGCUGGUUGUAGGCCUAAUAAGCAGGGUUGUGAAUUAAAUUGAGCUCAUUUGGUGACUGUGAGAACUUGUUUAGAAGGUGUUCUAACUCAAGGAGUGUGAUCGACUCUUGGAGUGAUUUUAGCUGACCUGUGGAAGCUCUUGAAGACUCGACUUGAGCAGGGUUGGAGCCUUGUGGAGCUGAUUAUUGCG